UCGAACGAGGAGUUCUCGGAGCAAUACUUGAACUUCCUAAUGGCGAAUGGGUGACUAACGUGUUGGGGACCUGCCCCAAAGCGAGGAAUACCUCCUGGAAACUGGAGCUAAUACCUCACGUGGUUACCAGGGUUAGAGGCCUGGCAACUGAAGGAGCAAUCCACUUUGGGAGGGACCUGCUUCCCAUCAGCUAGUUGGUAGGGUAACGGCCUACCAAGGCGACGACGGGUAGGGGGCCUGAGAGGGUGGCCCCCCACACUGGAACUGAAACACGGUCCAGACACCUACGGGUGGCAGCAGUAGGGAAUAUUGCACAAUGGGCGAAAGCCUGAUGCAGCAACGCCGCGUGAACGAUGAAGACCUUCGGGUUGUAAAGUUCUUUUCUGAAGGACGAGGAAGGACGGUACUUCAGGAAUAAGGAUCGGCUAACUACGUGCCAGCAGCCGCGGUAAUACGUAGGAUCCGAGCGUUAUCCGAAUUUACUGGGCGUAAAGCGUGUGCAGGCGGUUUGGUAAGUUGGAUGUGAAAGCUCCCGGCUCAACUGGGAGAGGCCGUUCAAAACUACCAGACUAGAGGACGGUAGAGGGAGGUAGAAUUCCCGGUGUAGUAGUGAAAUGCGUAGAUAUCGGGAGGAAUACCAGUGGCGAAGGCGGCCUCCUGGACCGUUCCUGACGCUCAGACACGAAAGCUAGGGGAGCGAACGGGAUUAGAAACCCCGGUAGUCCUAGCUGUAAACGAUGCAAACUUGGUGUUGGUGGGGUAAAAUCCGCCGGUGCCGAAGCUAACGCGAUAAGUUUGCCGCCUGGGGACUACGGCC
rnacentral:rRNA from 1 species